rnacentral:misc_RNA from 1 species
GAUGAAGAACGUAGCAAAAUGCGAUACUUGGUGUGAAUUGCAGAAUCCCGUGAACCAUCGAGUUUUUGAACGCAAGUUGCGCCCAAAGCCUUUUGGCCGAGGGCACGUCUGCCUGGGCGUCACGCAUCGCGUCGCCCCCCACAAUUCUUCGUAAAGGGAACAUGUGUUUUGGGGGCGGAUAUUGGUCUCCCGUGCUCAUGGCGUGGUUGGCCGAAAUAGGAGUCCUUUCGAUGGACGCACGAACUAGUGGUGGUCGUAAAAACCCUCGUCUUUUGUUUCGUGCUGUUGCUCGCAAGGUAAACUCUUUAAAAACCCCAAUGUGUCGUCUCUUGACGACGCUUCGACCGCGACCCCAGGUCAGGCGGGACUACCCGCUGAGUUUAAGCAUAUCAAUAAGCGGAGGA